rnacentral:rRNA from 1 species
GAUGAACGCUGGCGGCGUGCCUAAUACAUGCAAGUCGAGCGAACGGACGAGAAGCUUGCUUCUCUGAUGUUAGCGGCGGACGGGUGAGUAACACGUGGAUAACCUACCUAUAAGACUGGGAUAACUUCGGGAAACCGGAGCUAAUACCGGAUAAUAUUUUGAACCGCAUGGUUCAAAAGUGAAAGACGGUCUUGCUGUCACUUAUAGAUGGAUCCGCGCUGCAUUAGCUAGUUGGUGAGGUAACGGCUUACCAAGGCAACGAUGCAUAGCCGACCUGAGAGGGUGAUCGGCCACACUGGAACUGAGACACGGUCCAGACUCCUACGGGAGGCAGCAGUAGGGAAUCUUCCGCAAUGGGCGAAAGCCUGACGGAGCAGCGCCGCGUGAGUGAUGAAGGUCUUCGGAUCGUAAAACUCUGUUAUUAGGGAAGAACAUAUGUGUAAGUAACUGUGCACAUCUUGACGGUACCUAAUCAGAAAGCCACGGCUAACUACGUG